rnacentral:rRNA from 1 species
AUUGGACGCUGGCGGCAGGCCUAACACAUGCAAGUCGAACGGUAACAGGAAGACGCUUGCUUCUUUGCUGACGAGUGGCGGACGGGUGAGUAAUGUCUGGGAAACUGCCUGAUGGAGGGGGAUAACUACUGGAAACGGUAGCUAAUACCGCAUAACGUCGCAAGACCAAAGAGGGGGACCUUCGGGCCUCUUGCCAUCGGAUGUGCCCAGAUGGGAUUAGCUAGUAGGUGGGGUAACGGCUCACCUAGGCGACGAUCCCUAGCUGGUCUGAGAGGAUGACCAGCCACACUGGAACUGAGACACGGUCCAGACUCCUACGGGAGGCAGCAGUGGGGAAUAUUGCACAAUGGGCGCAAGCCUGAUGCAGCCAUGCCGCGUGUAUGAAGAAGGCCUUCGGGUUGUAAAGUACUUUCAGCGGGGAGGAAGGGAGUAAAGUUAAUACCUUUGCUCAUUGACGUUACCCGCAGAAGAAGCACCGGCUAACUCCGUG